ACGCUCGACACCUACGGGAGGCAGCAGUGGGGAAUAUUGCACAAUGGGGGAAACCCUGAUGCAGCGACGCCGCGUGAGCGAAGAAGUAUUUCGGUAUGUAAAGCUCUAUCAGCAGGGAAGAAAAUGACGGUACCUGACUAAGAAGCACCGGCUAAAUACGUGCGAGCAGCCGCGGUAAUCUGAGCGGGCUGGCAAGGC
rnacentral:rRNA from 1 species